rnacentral:rRNA from 1 species
GACGAACGCUGGCGGCGUGCUUAACACAUGCAAGUCGAACGGAAAGGCCCUGCUUUUGUGGGGUGCUCGAGUGGCGAACGGGUGAGUAACACGUGAGUAACCUGCCCUUGACUUUGGGAUAACUUCAGGAAACUGGGGCUAAUACCGGAUAGGAGCUCCUGCUGCAUGGUGGGGGUUGGAAAGUUUCGGCGGUUGGGGAUGGACUCGCGGCUUAUCAGCUUGUUGGUGGGGUAGUGGCUUACCAAGGCUUUGACGGGUAGCCGGCCUGAGAGGGUGACCGGCCACAUUGGGACUGAGAUACGGACCAGACUGCAACGGGAGGCAGCAGUGGGGAAUAUUGCACAAUGGGCGGAAGCCUGAUGCAGCAACGCCGCGUGCGGGAUGACGGCCUUCGGGUUGUAAACAGCUGUCGCCUGUGACGAAGCGUGAGUGACGGUAAUGGGUAAAGAAGCACCGGCUAACUACGUG